GAAUCCGUCAACAACAACCAAGUGGUUAAGCCUUCUUUUCUUUUUGUUUAAACACGAUUUAGAGGGCCUCUCAAUAGUUCAAAAUCGUGGGAAGAGAGGGAGAGUCGCACUAGUGGAAGAAAAUAGACGUUAUUGAAUUUUCUAGAGAGAGAAAGGGAGAUUUCGGGUUUGAGAGCUCUAGGAAAUUUCUGGGUGGUUUUGAGUGUUUGAAAUAUAUUUCCUAUAAUCUAAGGAAUGUUUUUGACGUGACAAGAGGGGCUAGAAAUGUCGUUUUCAAAAAUCAUAAAAUUUCACCAUUAAAGUGGGUGUUCUUGAAUAAUUUUGGAUCUAAGAGAACAUGGGAGGAUCCGGGAUUGUUUGAAGUGUUUAGAAAGCUUAGAGGGACCCUAAGAAGUGUUUUGGCUGUGAAGAAACAGAUCAAAAAGCUUUAAAACAAAAUUUUGUAUUUUGAUCACCAUUUUUUGCGGUACACCGGUGACGGGGAAGACAAACACGAACCGACCAUCAUGGGUCGGUUUUCUUAAGCUUCAAGGGUUAUUUGAGGUGCUGGGAUCUUUGGGAACAAAUUCCAACCGGUUUGGAGGGUCAAAAACAAGUGGAAAGAGGAGUUAGAAUCUAGCCGGCGACGGAGAAGAAGAAGAAGAUUCCGGCGAGGCUCCGGCGAACCCGAUCUGGGUAUUUAUGGAGGAGCCAACGGUCAUCGAUGUGACACAGCAAAUGGUUCAGGACACGUCAGCAGACAAUUCACUGCUUAAGGUAAAGGAAAAGCAAAGCAGUGAGUGGUGCAGGCUCAAGGCAUGGACAGGACAUGUUAGAGGCUGGGCUCCAGUUAUUUUAUGUUUUUAGAGAUAAAUGUUAUGUUUUAAAUUUUCAGACUUGAACGGCUAUUUUCUUUAUGUUGUUGUUAUUAAACCUAGCGUCCAACAUUUUUACUUUUAAAUAAUGAGAUCUCAUUGUCUGUUUAAAUUUUAAAUAAAUAUUUUCUUUUAGUGUCGUAAAGUAUUUAUUGUUUAUUAUUU